AGUGAACGCUGGCGGUAGGCCUAACACAUGCAAGUCGAACGGCAGCACAGUAAGAGCUUGCUCUUACGGGUGGCGAGUGGCGGACGGGUGAGGAAUACAUCGGAAUCUACUUUUUCGUGGGGGAUAACGUAGGGAAACUUACGCUAAUACCGCAUACGACCUACGGGUGAAAGCAGGAGAUCUUCGGACCUUGCGCGAUUGAAUGAGCCGAUGCCGGAUUAGCUAGUUGGCGGGGUAAAGGCCCACCAAGGCGACGAUCCGUAGCUGGUCUGAGAGGAUGAUCAGCCACACUGGAACUGAGACACGGUCCAGACUCCUACGGGAGGCAGCAGUGGGGAAUAUUGGACAAUGGGCGCAAGCCUGAUCCAGCCAUACCGCGUGGGUGAAGAAGGCCUUCGGGUUGUAAAGCCCUUUUGUUGGGAAAGAAAAGCAGCAGGUUAAUACCCCGCUGUUCUGACGGUACCCAAAGAAUAAGCACCGGCUAACUUCGUG
rnacentral:rRNA from 1 species